AGCAGGGGAAGGAGAAACCCUUCUCCUGUAACAUAACUCAAGAAUCACUUCAAUUAAGGGUGUUAUCAAGAAAGAAUCGGAUGCAUGGGUCCAAGAAAUCUCUAAUCUAAGCAUAUUGAACAUAAGGAUCAUGUCAAGAUGGGGGAAACAUGGAAGGCUACGGAAAGGAUAUGAGGAAGCAUGCACGAGACGGGCACUCGAGGCAUGAGAUUGUCAGAUUCAUGAAGGAAUGAAACCUGGUUUGGAUAAAGAGUAUUUAAGAAAGCGCUUGGACAAUUCCACGUUUACUUCAUAGAAUGCUUUACGAAUUUCUAUUAUAUGGUUUAAUGUUGUAUGGUGUGUUAAUGACUAAUGGUUGGGUUGUACGUGGUGUCCACGGGUAUCGCUCGGGUUUCCUCUACCACUAGCGAAGUGAAGCAGACAUAGAUCGAGUUGAGAGCAAGGAUUGUACGGAAAAGAAAGGUCACAUAGUUUGUUUUAAACUGGUCAUGAAGCCUUGAUAUAAUGUAACAUUGUGAAA